GAUUUAUUAGAAAAAUAUCAUUGACGAGAGAAAGCUUUAGUAACAUAUUUAUAUUAUGCUUUUAGGUAUUUUUCUAAAACGACAUUAUUCAUGUGCGAGAUAUCAAAGUAAACUCAAAUUCUGUUUUAUAUCAUCGUUUUUCAACAUCUAAGUAACAGCUUAGGAAGAAAAAAAAAUGAGAGAAAAAAAAAUAUGCAAGAGGAAUCUCAGGCGAGUAUAAAAAGCAAAUAAAA